UGUAAACCUCUUUCAGUACGGAAGAAGCGAAAGUGACGGUACCUAAAGAAGGCACCGGCUAACUAUGUGCCAGCAGCCGCGGUAAUACAUAGGGUGCAAGCGUCUGUCCGGAAUUAUUGGGCGUAAAGAGCAUCGUAGGUCGUUUGUCGCGUCGAUUGUGAAAAUCUGAGGCUCAACCUCAGACCUGCAGUCGAUACGGGCAAACUAGAGUGUGGUAGGGGUGACUGGUAAUUCCUGAGUGUAGCGGUGGAAUUGCGCAGAUAUCAGGAGCGAACACCAAUGGCGAAGGCAGGCUCUCUGGGCCAUAACUGACACUGAGGAGCGAAAGUGCGGGGAGCGAACAGAGAUUAGAUACCCUGGUAGUCCGUACCGUAAACGGUGGGCACUAGUUGUGGGA
rnacentral:rRNA from 1 species